CUCAAACAGGGCUUAAUGAACUAUAGAAAAAUAGCUAAAAUUCAGAAUUACAAAACUUUCUUACGUAUCCCUUCCCGUGCCUCAAAAUUGACCCCCUUAAGUAUAGUACAAAAAUACAGCUAAGCAAACGUGCAGAUGAAUCAGCAGCCAUCACCACCUAACCAACCACCGCGCACCACCUUCAACCACCACCACACAGCCUUAACCACGUGUCCCCCUCGGCUACCCUCACAUCAAUUUUCCAGUAAAAAUCAUCUUCUUUUUUGGCUCUCUUCCAGCCUGUCCCCCCACUCUUUGAUUAUAACUGAUCAUUUUUUAUUAUUCAAUUCCGUUUAGUUUUUGGCCUCUUCUUCUGGGUCCUUCUCAUCUAUUAUUCUCU
rnacentral:lncRNA from 1 species